UACAGAGGUGCCAAGCGUUAGGCGGAAUCACUGGCUUAAAGCGCGUGUAGGUGGGUCGUUAAGUGUCCGCGUGAAAUCCCACGGCUCAACCCGUGGAACUGCCGGGCAUACUGGCGAUCUUGAGGCAUUCAGGGGCGACUGGAACAAGCGGUGGAGCGGUGAAAUGCGUAGAUAUCGCUUGGAACGCCGAAGGUGAAAACAGGUCGCUGGGGAUGUGCCGACGCUGGAAGACACGAAAGCCAGGGGAGCAAACGGG
rnacentral:rRNA from 1 species